rnacentral:rRNA from 1 species
AACGAACGCUGGCGGCAUGCCUAACACAUGCAAGUCGAACGAGACCUUCGGGUCUAGUGGCGCACGGGUGCGUAACGCGUGGGAAUCUGCCCUUGGGUUCGGAAUAACAGUUGGAAACGACUGCUAAUACCGGAUGAUGACGUAAGUCCAAAGAUUUAUCGCCCAGGGAUGAGCCCGCGUAGGAUUAGCUAGUUGGUGGGGUAAAGGCCUACCAAGGCGACGAUCCUUAGCUGGUCUGAGGGGAUGAUCAGCCACACUGGGACUGAGACACGGCCCAGACUCCUACGGGAGGCAGCAGUGGGGAAUAUUGGACAAUGGGCGAAAGCCUGAUCCAGCAAUGCCGCGUGAGUGAUGAAGGCCUUAGGGUUGUAAAGCUCUUUUACCCGGGAUGAUAAUGACAGUACCGGGAGAAUAAGCCCCGGCUAACUCCGUG